rnacentral:rRNA from 1 species
GAUGAACGCUGGCGGCGUGCCUAAUACAUGCAAGUCGAGCGAAUGGAUUAAGAGCUUGCUCUUAUGAAGUUAGCGGCGGACGGGUGAGUAACACGUGGGUAACCUGCCCAUAAGACUGGGAUAACUCCGGGAAACCGGGGCUAAUACCGGAUAAUAUUUUGAACUGCAUGGUUCAAAAUUGAAAGGCGGCUUCGGCUGUCACUUAUGGUUGGACCAGCGUCGCAUUAGCUAGUUGGUGAGGUAACGGCUCACCAAGGCAACGAUGCGUAGCCUGCCUGAGAGGGUGAUCGGCCACACUGGGACUGAGACACGGCCCAGACUCCUACGGGAGGCAGCAGUAGGGAAUCUUCCGCAAUGGACGAAAGUCUGACGGAGCAACGCCGCGUGAGUGAUGAAGGCUUUCGGGUCGUAAAACUCUGUUGUUAGGGAAGAACAAGUGCUAGUUGAAUAAGCUGGCACCUUGACGGUACCUAACCAGAAAGCCACGGCUAACUACGUGCCAGCAGCCGCAGUAA